rnacentral:rRNA from 1 species
UACGUAGGUGGCAAGCGUUGUCCGGAAUUAUUGGGCGUAAAGCGCGCGCAGGCGGUCCUUUAAGUCUGUGGUGAAAGCCCACGGCUCAACCGUGGAGGGUCAUUGGAAACUGGGGGACUUGAGUGCAGAAGAGGAGAGUGGAAUUCCACGUGUAGCGGUGAAAUGCGUAGAGAUGUGGAGGAACACCAGUGGCGAAGGCGACUCUCUGGUCUGUAACUGACGCUGAGGCGCGAAAGCGUGGGGAGCAAACAGG